rnacentral:tRNA from 1 species
CUAUUUUGGCAGAGAAAUUGUAGUGGUUUUAGAAUUCAUAAAUAUAUAUUAUUAACAUAUAUAUAUAGUA